rnacentral:tRNA from 2 species
GGCAUAGCUCAGUUUGGUAGAGCGCUUGGUUCGGGACCAAGAGGUCGUAGGUUCGAAUCCUGUUGC